rnacentral:rRNA from 1 species
CCUACGGGAGGCAGCAGUGGGGAAUAUUGGACAAUGGGGGCAACCCUGAUCCAGCCAUGCCGCGUGUGUGAAGAAGGCCCUCGGGUUGUAAAGCACUUUCAGUGAGGAAGAACGCCUGGUGGUUAAUACCCAUCAGGAAAGACAUCACUCACAGAAGAAGCACCGGCUAACUCCGUGCCAGCAGCCGCGGUAAUACGGAGGGUGCGAGCGUUAAUCGGAAUUACUGGGCGUAAAGCGCGCGUAGGUGGCUUGAUAAGCCGGUUGUGAAAGCCCCGGGCUCAACCUGGGAACGGCAUCCGGAACUGUCAAGCUAGAGUGCAGGAGAGGAAGGUAGAAUUCCCGGUGUAGCGGUGAAAUGCGUAGAGAUCGGGAGGAAUCCCAGUGGCGAAGGCGGCCUUCUGGACUGACACUGACACUGAGGUGCGAAAGCGUGGGUAGCAAACAGGAUUAGAUACCCUUGUAGUC